GUGUUUAUUUUACCUUGUUGCUUCGGCGGGCCCGCCUUAACUGGCCGCCGGGGGGCUUACGCCCCCGGGCCCGCGCCCGCCGAAGACACCCUCGAACUCUGUCUGAAGAUUGUAGUCUGAGUGAAAAUAUAAAUUAUUUAAAACUUUCAACAACGGAUCUCUUGGUUCCGGCAUCGAUGAAGAACGCAGCGAAAUGCGAUACGUAAUGUGAAUUGCAAAUUCAGUGAAUCAUCGAGUCUUUGAACGCACAUUGCGCCCCCUGGUAUUCCGGGGGGCAUGCCUGUCCGAGCGUCAUUGCUGCCCUCAAGCACGGCUUGUGUGUUGGGCCCCGUCCUCCGAUCCCGGGGGACGGGCCCGAAAGGCAGCGGCGGCACCGCGUCCGGUCCUCGAGCGUAUGGGGCUUUGUCACCCGCUCUGUAGGCCCGGCCGGCGCUUGCCGAUCAACCCAAAUUUUUAUCCAGGUUGACCUCGGAUCAGGUAGGGAUACCCGCUGAACUUAAGCAUAUCAAUA
rnacentral:rRNA from 1 species